UAACAAAAAAUUCCAAUGGUUAAAAUUUUAAAAAUUAAUAAGGUUUUUGGUAGACCACUUACACUUAAUGGCAUCAACAAUCCAGUCAAUUAAAACUAACGUUUUUUGUAAAAAAUUGACAUAAAGGACUAAUUGAGAAACGAAUGUGUCUUUAAGGGACCAAUCCGGACCUUUUUUUUCUUUAAGGGACCAUUGUGAAACCUAAAAUGUCUUUAAGGGACCAAAAGACUAAUUAAGCCU
rnacentral:lncRNA from 1 species